UCAGAUUUAUUAAAAAAGAAAAGAAAAGAAAAGCACAAGUUUCCCAGACUCGCUAGUAGGAGCGGUCGCCUAUUUCCCCUCCGAGAGAAGCGCCUGCGCGCCGUUUCCCGCCCGCCUGAGCACGCCCCGGCGUCCGGGCGCGGCCGCCACGGCAGCCCGCGCUCAGACCGACGGCUAGGCGCGCCGCCGCGCUGAGCUCCGUCUCCCCGUCCGUCAAGGGGGGAUAACGCAAUCGACCCGGAGACACGGCGACGGGCGCCCACUAAACGCUCGGCGCAGCUCUCCAGUGACGCGACCGAGGAAAACAAGCAACACCGGCCUCUUGACUUCGCUCCCCGCCAGUGAACCCCCCAGCCCUACGCAGGGACAGGAAGCACUAAUGUGCUCAAGAUCAGCAUGAGUUUGUGCUGUGCACCCUGAUCUGGAAUGUGUCACGGGGGGCAAUGGAGAAGAAUAGGAUACUUACAUCGAGCGACCACACUGACGUUUUACACCCGUUAAGAGUCCUGUGCUCUGUUCAGUAUUUUAAGGCCCAGGAGGGCGAGGAGCGACUUGGGAACGUGCGGGGGCAGCGCCAGCAGGGGGCGGCGGGGAGCAGAGCCGCCGGCAGAAACCCGAGGGUAAGACCGAAACCACGGGUCACGGCCGGAAAGACGAAGCUGAACUCGCUUUGAAGGUCUCCUGCAUUACUGAAAAAGAGAGAAGAGGAGAGAUUUGAAGAAGUGUUUCUGAUGGUGAAUUUUGUUAGGACUUUAAAAAAUGGCUUUAAUUAGUUUAAAGACUCCAUAUGGUUUGGUGCCAUUUACAUGAAAUAGCCUCAAGGGGCAAAUCUGCAGACAGCGCAGGUGGUCGCCUAGGGCUGGGACCUGGGGCUGGGAUGGAGGUUUGGGGGAUGCAGAGGGGAGGAGGGGUUCUGUGGCGUAGGAACCACCCUAAAGUCAUGGAGGUAAGUUCAGAACUCCUUGAAAUACUAACAGCCGUUGAACUGUACCCUGUAAAUGAAAGAACUAUAUGGUGUAAGAAUUGUGUCUCGACAAAACUGUUGCUUUAAACUUAUGGCACUUUAGAAAUCUUAAUGUGGAGAUCUCCAAAUUUAUUUCUAACGAGUAUUAAUGUGUUUCUGGAUAAUAAAUGAUCAUAUGCCCUAGUGACUGAAAUUUCUGUCAGCAGUUUCAUUUCCAGCAGAUACAGAUUAAUUUCUAUCAUUUCAGGUGAACCCAGGCAGUUUCUCAGGAGCCCCGGGAGAGAG